rnacentral:rRNA from 1 species
UGUGGUCAAGUUAGAAAGGGCACACGGUGGAUGCCUUGGCAAUUGGAGCCGAUGAAGGACGUAGUAAGCAACGAAAAGCUUCGGUCAGGCGCUUACAGCCGUAGCCGGAGAUGUCCGAAUGGGGCAACCCUCUGCAGGAAGACUGCAGAACUCCCAUAUGAAUCUAUAGUAUGGGUAGAGGCAAGCCGCUGAACUGAAACAUCUAAGUAAGCGGAGGAGAAGAAAGCGAAUGCGAUUCCCCAAGUAGUGGCGAGCGAAACGGGAACAGCCUAAACCGGUUCUGUUUAUUCAAAAGGUGAGAAGCACCCCGAGAGGGGAUAAGCUGUCCCUGAAGCCGUGUGCCUACAAGCAGUCGGAGCCCUACGAUUUAUUCAGGGUGACGGCGUGCCUUUUGUAGAAUGACCCUGGGAGUUAUUGUAUGCAGCAAGGUUAAGGCCGGAGGGCCGCAGCCGUAGCGAAAGCGAGUCUGAAAAGGGCGUCAAGUUGCAUGCAGUACACCCGAAACCGAGUGAUCUACCCAUGGACAGGCUGCAGGCGCUGUAAAAGGCGUUGAAGGGCCGAACCAGUGGCGGUUGAAAACGCUUUGGAUGAGCUGUGGGUAGUGGUGAAACGCUAAACGAACUCGGAUAUAGCUGGUUCUCCCCGAAAUAGUUCGAGGAUUAGCCUCGCAUGUUCAACAACGGUGGUAAAGCACUGAAAGGGUUAGGGGGCCCACAAGCCUACCGACCCCUAUCAAACUCUGAAUGCCGUUGUUUUAGAGUGCGGGAGUGAGACGGGCGGAGAUAAGUUUGUUCGUCGAGAGGGAAACAGCCCAGACCGUCAGUUAAGGUCCCCAAGUUCUGGCUAAGUGGUUAACGAGGUGAUUUUGCUCAGACAAUCAGGAGGUUGGCUUAGAAGCAGCCACCCUUUAAUAAACCUAAGGUUUCAUGGACAAGGUUCGUCCUUCCAUGUUUAGGCGGGAGCUAAGGCGAGGCCGAAGGGCGUAGUCGAUGCACAGCAGGUUGAUAUUCCUGCCCCGCUCAUAAAUUGUAACUCAUGCGUCGGUUGGUUAGCCUACUCCCACGUGGAGACGGCCUUUAUUUAAAGGAAGGUCGCGAGAGCUUAGCUCGUAGUGGUGAAACCUAUACGGCCCGGAAAAGUGAGUUGCGCUAGUUUAUGAGCGCCCGUACCGCAAACCGACACAGGUAGGUGAGGAGAGUAUCCUCAGGCGCGCGAGAGAACCCACGUUAAGGAACUCGGCAAUCUGUACCCGUAACUUUGGAAGAAGGGUAGCCCCGCACUGGUGAGUAUCUUUACGGUACGAAGCGAGAGGGGGCCGCAGAGAAUCGGCUCAAGCGACUGUUUACCAAAAACAUAGGUCUCUGCGAAGUCGCAAGACGACGUAUAGGGGCUGAUGCCUGCCCAAUGCCGGAAUGUUAAGAGGAGAGGUUAGUCGCAAGGCGAAGCUUUGAAUUGAAGCACCGGUCAAUGGCGGCCGUAACUAUAACGGUCCUAAGGUAGCGAAAUUCCUUGUCGGGUAAGUUCCGACCUGCACGAAUGGCAUAACGACUUGAGCGCUGUCUCAACGUGGGA